rnacentral:rRNA from 1 species
AUGAACGCUGGCGGCGUGCCUAAUACAUGCAAGUCGAGCGAACAGACGAGGAGCUUGCUCCUCUGACGUUAGCGGCGGGCGGGUGAGUAACACGUGGAUAACCUACCUAUAAGACUGGGAUAACUUCGGGAAACCGGAGCUAAUACCGGAUAACAUGUUGAACCGCAUGGUUCAACAGUGAAAGACGGUCUUGCUGUCACUUAUAGAUGGAUCCGCGCCGCAUUAGCUAGUUGGUAAGGUAACGGCUUACCAAGGCAACGAUGCGUAGCCGACCUGAGAGGGUGAUCGGCCACACUGGAACUGAGACACGGUCCAGACUCCUACGGGAGGCAGCAGUAGGGAAUCUUCCGCAAUGGGCGAAAGCCUGACGGAGCAACGCCGCGUGAGUGAAGAAGGUCUUCGGAUCGUAAAACUCUGUUAUUAGGGAAGAACAAAUGUGUAAGUAACUAUGCACGUCUUGACGGUACCUAAUCAGAAAGCCACGGCUAACUACGUG